rnacentral:rRNA from 1 species
AACGAACGCUGGCGGCAUGCCUAACACAUGCAAGUCGAACGAGACCUUCGGGUCUAGUGGCGCACGGGUGCGUAACGCGUGGGAACCUGCCCUUAGGUUCGGAAUAACUCCCCGAAAGGGGUGCUAAUACCGGAUAAUGUCUUCGGACCAAAGAUUUAUCGCCUUUGGAUGGGCCCGCGUUGGAUUAGCUAGUUGGUAGGGUAAAAGCCUACCAAGGCGACGAUCCAUAGCUGGUCUGAGAGGAUGAUCAGCCACACUGGGACUGAGACACGGCCCAGACUCCUACGGGAGGCAGCAGUGGGGAAUAUUGGACAAUGGGCGAAAGCCUGAUCCAGCAAUGCCGCGUGAGUGAUGAAGGCCUUAGGGUUGUAAAGCUCUUUUACCCGGGAUGAUAAUGACAGUAGCGGGAGAAUAAGCUCCGGCUAACUCCGUG